GUCCAGCUGGUCGUUGGCGUUCAGUAAUUUCUUUACAGUAUAAAUUUUAUAUUAUUUUAGCAUAAAUUGGGCAAGUUUUGAUUUAAGACUUGCGAUUCCUGCUUCAUAGAAUUUCUGCUACAUCCUCUUCCUAUUAUUUUCAAGGACAUUUUAAUUGACUGUAAGCAAAAUGCCGGUUCCCGAUAUCGUACUGAAUAAUGGAAAGAAAAUUCCGAUAGUUGGGCUUGGUACUUGGGGCAGUCCCAAGGGUGAAGUUGUCCAAGCCGUAAAAGAUGCUAUCGACAUUGGUUAUCGCCAUAUAGAUUGCGCUCACGUAUAUCAAAAUGAAGACGAAGUUGGUGAGGGGAUUGAAACUAAAAUAGCGGAAGGUGUUGUGAAACGCGAAGAGUUGUUUAUCACAAGUAAAUUGUGGAACACCUUCCACAGUCCUGAAUUAGUACGCGGCGCACUCGAAACUACCUUGAAAAAUUUGCGAUUGAAUUACCUUGACUUGUACCUGAUCCAUUGGCCUAUGGGAUACAAAGAGGGUGGCCAAUUGUUCCCAAAUGAUGAUCUCGGAAAUGUGGCUUACUCGGAUGUUGAUUAUGUUGACACAUGGAAGGAAAUGGAAAAACUUGUAGAGGCUGGUCUUGUUAGGUCUAUUGGUGUAUCGAAUUUCAACAAGCGUCAGGUUGAACGUGUGCUUGAGGUUGCAACCAUUUCUCCAGUAACAAACCAAAUCGAAUGUCAUCCAUAUUUAACACAAAAAAAGCUGAUUGAAUUCUGCAAAUCAAAGAAUAUUGCUAUUACUGCUUACAGUCCUUUGGGUUCACCAAAUCGCCCAUGGGCAAAGCCUGAAGAUCCCGUUUUAUUGGAAGACGCUAAAAUUCUUGCUAUUGCUAAAAAGUACGGUAAGACUCCAGCUCAAAUUCUCAUUCGCUAUCAAGUGCAACUCGGUAACAUUGUAAUACCAAAAUCUGUGACCAAGAGCCGGAUUGCAUCGAACUUCGACGUGUUCAAUUUCGAGUUAAACGCAGAUGAUAUUGCCACCAUUGAUGGUUUUAAUUGCAACGGUCGUUUCGUGCCUUUGGACAACGAUGCUGGGCAUAAGCAUUAUCCUUUCAAUGAUGAGUUCUAAUGUUGCAUAAGGAUAAUAUUAGUAUUUUGUGCGUGUUCGAAAAGAAACUACUCAUAUUGAGAGUGAAUUACAUUAUUUUACCAGCAGUUAAAUUUGCGAUUUUCAACGAGUUCAAUAUCUUAUCACCAUCGAACACAUCCAUAUCAUCCAUUCGCCAACGAUGAAUACUAAGAAAUGUUGCGGAGGAGUUUUGAAGUUACCUUUAAAUGGAAUAAAAUACACUCAUAUAUGUGUGUAUAUACAUACUUACGUAUAUAAAAGAUUUUAAACUAUUGUACUGCAUUGAGUUAAUAAAUACACAGGAAUUUACACAAAAAA